rnacentral:rRNA from 1 species
GUAAGGGAUAAGCCACCGAAAGGUGGUCUAAUACCUUAUAGUAUCCAUCUCGUAUGGAUUAAAGCUUUAUGCGCUUUGGGAGGGGCCUGCGUUUGAUUAGCUAGUUGGUGAGGUAAAAGCUCACCAAGGCGACGAUCAAUAGCUGGUUUGAGAGGAUGACCAGCCACACUGGGACUGAGAUACGGCCCAGACUCCUACGGGAGGCAGCAGUAAGGAAUCUUCCACAAUGGGGCAACCCUGAUGGAGCAAUACCGCGUGCAGGAUGAAGCGUUUCGGCGUGUAAACUGCUUUUAUCACCGAAGAUUAUGACUGUAGGUGAAGAAUAAGGACCGGCUAACUACGUG